rnacentral:rRNA from 1 species
GGGAACAUACCCUUUUCUACGGAAUAGCUCUGGGAAACUGGAAUUAAUACCGUAUACGCCCUACGGGGGAAAGAUUUAUCGGGGAAGGAUUGGCCCGCGUUGGAUUAGCUAGUUGGUGGGGUAAAGGCCUACCAAGGCGACGAUCCAUAGCUGGUCUGAGAGGAUGAUCAGCCACAUUGGGACUGAGACACGGCCCAAACUCCUACGGGAGGCAGCAGUGGGGAAUAUUGGACAAUGGGCGCAAGCCUGAUCCAGCCAUGCCGCGUGAGUGAUGAAGGCCUUAGGGUUGUAAAGCUCUUUCACCGGUGAAGAUAAUGACGGUAACCGGAGAAGAAGCCCCGGCUAACUUCGUGCCAGCAGCCGCGGUAAUACGAAGGGGGCUAGCGUUGUUCGGAAUUACUGGGCGUAAAGCGCACGUAGGCGGAUAUUUAAGUCAGGGGUGAAAUCCCAGAGCUCAACUCUGGAACUGCCUUUGAUACUGGGUAUCUUGAGUAUGGAAGAGGUAAGUGGAAUUGCGAGU